rnacentral:rRNA from 1 species
AUUGAACGCUGGCGGCAGGCCUAACACAUGCAAGUCGAGCGGAUGAAGGGAGCUUGCUCCUGGAUUCAGCGGCGGACGGGUGAGUAAUGCCUAGGAAUCUGCGUGUUAGUGGGGGAUAACGGCCGGAAACGGGCGCUAAUACCGCAUACGUGCUGAGGGAGAAAGGGGGAGAGCUUCGGACCUCACGCUAUCAGAUGAGCCUAGGUCGGAUUAGCUAGUUGGUGGGGUAAAGGCCUACCAAGGCGACGAUCCGUAACUGGUCUGAGAGGAUGAUCAGUCCACAUGGGACUGAGACACGGUCCAGACUCCUACGGGAGGGAGCAGUGGGGAAUAUUGGACAAUGGGCGGAAGGCUGAUCCAGCCAUGCCGCGUGUGUGAAGAAGGUCUUCGGAUUGUAAAGCACUUUAAGUUGGGAGGAAGGGCAGUAAGUUAAUACCUUGCUGUUUUGACGUUACCAACAGAAUAAGCACCGGCUAACUUCGUG